rnacentral:lncRNA from 1 species
ACGGAAGUUGCAACAUACUACUGUUAAGGCAUAAUAAAAUUAAUACAUCCAUUUGGGAAAGAUGGCUCAAUCAAAUUAAAAGGUUUAUUAAGGCUCUGGUUGCAUACGUCGCUUUGAAAUAUAAGAAUUUCAAAUUCUUGUCCAAAAUUCGUCAAGCAUAUUUGGAUGGUGAAUAGACUAAAGGAUUUGAAAUUAAGGAAAUCACUUCUUAAAUUUCAAGAGUAAAAUGAAGGGAUUUCAAAUAACUCCUCCCUCCACCUCCCCACCCAUCUCACUUCGCUUUCAAUACUCUGUCUUCUCUCUCAUCCCUCAUCUCUAUCUCCUCUCUCUCCAAAAUAGGUUUUAAUUGAAAUCGUUUCAAAAAAAAAUGUAUCCAAAUGGUGGAUGUGAUCCAUAGAGAUUUGAAAUACUUAGGCUGUAUUUCGAUUAAGUAUUUGGUGAGAGAAAAUAAAUAAAAUUAAAAAUGAUUGAAGAUCGAAUGGUUCCGAACGAUUGAAUGUUCAAUGGUUGCAACACUUCAACCGUUCAUGACCAUAGGAUCAUCUAAUUUUUUUAUUUUCGUUUUUAUUUUAUUUUCCCUCACCAAUUCCUUGAUCUAAAUACAACCUUAGAUUUCAAAUCCAUUUAUUUGAAAUCCACGUAUCCAAUAGAGCCUAAAUGUUUAUGAUUAAUUUUUACAC